UCUCUUGGUUCUGGCAUCGAUGAAGAACGCAGCGAAAUGCGAUAAGUAAUGUGAAUUGCAGAAUUCCGUGAAUCAUCGAAUCUUUGAACGCACAUUGCGCCCUUUGGUAUUCCGAAGGGCAUGCCUGUUCGAGCGUCAUUGCAACCCUCAAGCACUGC
rnacentral:rRNA from 1 species